rnacentral:rRNA from 1 species
UACGUAGGGGGCAAGCGUUGUCCGGAAUCAUUGGGCGUAAAGAGCGUGUAGGCGGCCAGAAAAGUCCGCUGUGAAAACUCGAGGCUCAACUUCGAGCUGUCGGUGGAAACUUUCUGGCUAGAGUCCGGAAGAGGAGAAUGGAAUUCCUGGUGUAGCGGUGAAAUGCGCAGAUAUCAGGAAGAACACCCGUGGCGAAGGCGGUUCUCUGGGCCUUACCUGACGCUGAGGAGCGAAAGCGUGGGGAGCGAACAGG